rnacentral:rRNA from 1 species
CCUACGGGGGGCAGCAGUGGGGAAUAUUGGACAAUGGGCGAAAGCCUGAUCCAGCCAUGCCGCGUGUGUGAAGAAGGCCUUCGGGUUGUAAAGCACUUUCAGUGGGGAAGAAAGCCUUGGGGCUAAUACCCUCGAGGAAGGACAUCACCCACAGAAGAAGCACCGGCUAACUCCGUGCCAGCAGCCGCGGUAAUACGGAGGGUGCGAGCGUUAAUCGGAAUUACUGGGCGUAAAGCGCGCGUAGGCGGUCUGAUAAGCCGGUUGUGAAAGCCCCGGGCUCAACCUGGGAACGGCAUCCGGAACUGUCAGGCUAGAGUGCAGGAGAGGAAGGUAGAAUUCCCGGUGUAGCGGUGAAAUGCGUAGAGCUCGGGAGGAAUACCAGUGGCGAAGGCGGCCUUCUGGACUGACACUGACGCUGCGGUGCGAAAGCGUGGGUAGCAAACAGGAUUAGAUACCCUAGUAGUC